rnacentral:sRNA from 1 species
CCACGAAAGUUGGAAAGUAGAGGAAGAAAAGC